CUUCCUUCUCUCCUCACCUCAGGAUUCCUUCCUUCUCUCACCUCAGGAUUCCUUCCUUCUCUGCUCACGUCAGGAUUCCUUCCUUCUCUCCUCACCUCAGGAUUCCUUCCUUCUCUCACCUCGGGAUUCCUUCCUUCUCUGCUCACCUCGGGAUUCCUUCCUUCUCUGCUCACCUCGGGAUUCCUUCCUUCUCUCACCUCAGGAUUCCUUCCUUCUCUCACCUCAGGAUUCCUUCCUUCUCUGCUCACGUCAGGAUUCCUUCCUUCUCUCCUCACCUCAGGAUUCCUUCCUUCUCUGCUCACCUCAGGAUUCCUUCCUUCUCUCCUCACCUCAGGAUUCCUUCCUUCUCUCACCUCAGGAUUCCUUCCUUCUCUCCUCACCUCAGGA
rnacentral:lncRNA from 1 species